CAGGAUACAAGAAAUUACACCAAGUGUGAAUGGAUAAUGUCAUCUUAUUCUCUGAAGAUAUGAUGGAGACAAAUUUGUCAAAACUGUUGACGCUAACUUCGUUGUCUCUGAGAUGUUUGGUCGUACGGACUACUCUUAUAAUACAACCAUGCGGCAGGUUGGUUGCUUUCGCGAGGCGCAGACCAGGGAUAAAAUGCUGAAUCUGCCCCUACAACAGACAUGGGGCCCAGGGCUUCUGCGAUCUGAGAACCAUCUUUGCUGUCCAGACAUAUGGAAUCUCUAAACCGAUCUAUGAGCAUCUUAUCCCUUACGUCACACUCAGCAUCACCUUCAUAUCUCUUUGUAUCCUAGGUUACAGUUACUACAGAUAUGUGUAUAUAUUCCGUAAAUUACAAGAAAGGGCAAAAGCUAAAAAUACUUAAAAACUCUGUAUACAGCAGUCUGCUCCACAGGGUACAGGGUACAGGGGCUUGAUAUUUGUCCAAGCCUCAUACGUUUUAAAAUGGUGUUAUUUUAAGGUUUUUAAGUCAACGGAAAUAUAUAUAAAAAAAUUGAUCAGUUUAUAAAAAUAUGUUUAAUAAAGCUUGAUGUUAACGGUGUUUGGUGAUAAGAUUGUAUUUGCAUUGGAAAUCAUUUAUUGUAAUGUUCUAUAAACAGUUUUAAAAUAAAUGUUUCACCCCUUA